GAUGAACGCUGGCGGCGUGCCUAAUACAUGCAAGUCGAGCGAAUGGAUUAAGAGCUUGCUCUUAUGAAGUUAGCGGCGGACGGGUGAGUAACACGUGGGUAACCUGCCCAUAAGACUGGGAUAACUCCGGGAAACCGGGGCUAAUACCGGAUAACAUUUUGAACCGCAUGGUUCGAAAUUGAAAGGCGGCUUCGGCUGUCACUUAUGGAUGGACCCGCGUCUCGUUAGCUAGUUGGUGAGGUAACGGCUCACCAAGGCAACGAUGCGUAGCCGACCUGAGAGGGUGAUCGGCCACACUGGGACGUAGACACGGCCCAGACUCCUACGGGAGGCAGCAGUAGGGAAUCUUCCGCAAUGGACGAAAGUCUGACGGAGCAACGCCGCGUGAGUGAUGAAGGCUUUCGGGUCGUAAAACUCUGUUGUUAGGGAAGAACAAGUGCUAGUUGAAUAAGCUGGCACCUUGACGGUACCUAACCAGAAAGCCACGGCUAACUACGUGCCAGCCGCCGCGGUAA
rnacentral:rRNA from 1 species